rnacentral:misc_RNA from 1 species
AUUAUAAACAUCAGAAACUGCAUUCCUGUAAUUAUCAGUCAAAGAUCCAUUUGGUGCCAUCUGACUUCUUGGCUUAAAUGCUCUAGGUCCUUUAUUUCGUUCACCUAAUGUAUCAAGCGCAACAUUACAACUGUAUGAGAAGUCAAUGCACCUUCUCCCUUGUAUUGCUUCAUGAAGCGUGGGCCAGCUCUGACCGUUCAUUCCAAACAUAGAAGAGGAAACGUCAUAACCAGAGUUUGGAUUAGUUUGACCUUGAGGAUAGCUUUUA